rnacentral:misc_RNA from 1 species
UUUCCGUAGGUGAACCUGCGGAAGGAUCAUUCAUAAUAAAGUGUUUUAUGGCACUUUUUAAAAAUCCAUAUCCACCUUGUGUGCAAUGUUAGAUCUCGUCAAUCUUGGCGAGAUUUUUAUACAUCAACUUAUUCUUUAACUAAUUUGUCUGAAAAAUAUUAUGAAUACUUAAUUCAAAAUACAACUUUCAACAACGGAUCUCUUGGCUCUC